rnacentral:lncRNA from 1 species
UCUCUCAUCUUCUGCUGUCUAACUAAGGAUUUUGCCCAUUGCUCUGGGUUGCACGAGUUCAUUAAAACAAGCAUUCACCUGAGGUGCUGCCAGCCGGCUGCCAGGUGGAACAGAGCCCCUGCAGAGGCUUGAGCAGUCAGACCCUCUGCAGCAUGGAGCUGGAGUGUCUGGGGAUGGUGCACCAGGGUGAUCCUUCCCUCAGAACAGGAACCAGCAAUUCUCCAAGUGUCUGCAGAACACUGCCAUCGGUUCACCUGGGCAUUUGUCACACUUGCGAGAGUGGGUGAGGGCCAUGUGUGCCACAACACAUGUGGAGGUCAGAGGACAGCCUCUGGUGUAGGUCUUUGCCUUCUGCUUUGUUCAAGACAGGGUCUGAUUGUUAUUCACCAUGUAUACAACAGGCUAGCUGCUGCCGGCUCCCAGGAGUUCUCCCCUCCUCCCAUCUCACUGGUGGAGUGCUGGGAUGACAGGUGGUCCACACCCGUGUCUAGCUUUUCUGUAGAUUCUAGGAAUUCAAACCCAGGUCGUCUGGCUUGCUCAGCAGUCACUUCCCCCACUGGGCUCUCUCCAGCUCACUCCUGUGCCUCCAUGCAGAUUAACUGUCCUGAAGCACUGGAGGCCAUCAGCCAGCAGUGUCCUCAGAAGCCCUGAAAGGUGACUCUGAUGCAGACAGAGGGUAGAAUAGGAAACCACACAGGCAGGAAGCCUCGCUUGGAAGACAGGCUGUCCCCCCGGGACCAGACCCUUUGCAUCAAACUCUUACACGGAGGAGACAGACGAGGAACCCAGGGUGCUUGCCUGUUGGACUUACUGUUUCAUGAUGUAGAAUCUUCUGCUGACAUACAAGAGUGUUGUUCAGCCACGCUGAUAUUUCCAGCUUCAGAUCAGUGAGCUGACAAUGUGUGUUACCAGACCAAGCCUGUGCCUGACACCAGGAGCACCUAUGGUCGUAACUGUAAAAAUCUUACUCCAGUGGUCCCAACCGCCCACCAUCCUGAGCUCUUCGGAAGGAGCAUAGCGACUCAUCAUCGACUCUCAAUAUUCUCCUGGUGUGGGCCUUCAACUAUCUGUCCUCCUGCCUCAGCCUCCCGAAUAGCAGGGAUGACAGGCCUUUGUCAUCAGGCCCAGCUCAUGUAACUCACUAAGUGCUACCCUGACUUAAGGAGGAAAUAGAUUACAUGAGGGAUAUUUUUAUAUGAUUAUAAAAUAAGUAAAUCCUCAACUGAAUAGUCCAAAGU